AUAAUACUCCCUCCGUCCGGAAAUACUCGUCGGAGGAAUGGAUGUAUCUAGAUGUAUUUUAGUUUUAGAUACAUUCAUUUUUAUGCAUUCCUUCGACAAGUAUUUCCGGACGGAGGGAGUAUUAU
rfam:Triticum aestivum genome assembly, contig: Triticum_aestivum_CS42_TGACv1_scaffold_031888_1BL